UCUACUUGUGUUAGAAGCUUAGGCUUUCGCCUGGUAGUUGGCGCUAAUCUCCGUGGUCAUUUGUCCAUUUCGUGUACCGUUGCAAUAUUAUUCGUUUAGGUGCUACAGUGAAAUAACGCUUAUCGCAAGUUAAUUUAUGAAGCACUCAUAAAAAACUUCGGUGAAAUUUGGAUAGUAAACUUCAGUGCAGCAAGAUUAGUUUACUUGGAAGUGGUAUUAUUAAGAAUGGAGAAUUCACCAAAAAAGGGAAUGAGAAAUUCAAAAGAAACUAUAACAGAGGUAGUCAACAUUGUCUGCAAGGCAAAUCAUCCAUUCGAUCAGUUGCAAAAGAGUUUAGUAUAGCCAAGUCUAUGUUAGCUAGAUUAGUUACUAAAGCGAAAGGUAUGCCACCAAGUUCUUUUUUUUAUGAACCCAACUUUGGAUACAGAAGAGUAUUCACAGCUGAAUCUUACUUCAUCGAAAAUGGUUUACGGUUUAACAUAUCUUUAAACUCGAGAGCUCGCAUACCGGUAUGCAUUAAAAUUGAGGAAAGAAAUGCCUACAAACUGGAUUAACUAUAAAAGUGCGAGAGUAGAUUGGAUGAAGCAUCUUAUGAAAUGUCAUAGUGCAUUGUCCCUUCGACGUCCUGAGAAAACUAGCUUAUCAAGAGCGAUAGCUUCGAUAUAAACUUGAAGAAGUAUUAAAGAAAUACAGUUCUACAGCAGACAGAAUAUUUAAUCCUGAUGAAACUGGCUUAAUAACAGUGUCUGAAUUACCCAUUGUUACUGCUCCACGUGGUGCUAGUUGCUCAUGCAAUUUCUACAGAAAGAGGCCAGUUAGUCACCAUGCUUGCAUUUGUGUCAGCCACAGGUAACCAACUUCCUCCUGUCUUUAUAUUUCCACGAGUUAAAUUUAAAAAUAUUAUGUCAAAAGGUUGUCCACCCGGAAGUUUAGGACUUUGCCACAAAAGUGGUUGGGUGACGGCUGACAAUUUUUACACUGCAUUCAGGCACUUUUUAGAAAAAUCAGUCAUCUAAGAAUAGCCCAAUAUUGUUAUUAAUAAGUAACCACGAAAGCGACCUUAAUAUUGAUGUUAUAGACCAUGCUCGUAAAAAUGGUGUAGUAUCGACUGCAGCCAUUAAAUGUAGCUAUUUUUGGAUCAUUCAAGAACUAUUGUAGAACUGCCAAGAGUGAUUGGAUGGUUAACAACCCUAAAAAAAUUAUAUCACUUUACCUUCUAUCACAGUUUGCUAACACUGAAUUUCUCAAUGCGUUUACUCCAAAAACUAUUUGUUCCGAGUUUUUAAAAACUGGCAUUUUUCCAUUCAAAAAAAACAAGAUUUUUUGGUAGCAAUCGUAACUAACCACUUUACUGAAGACCCACAUAAUACAGCUAGUACCUUGUCUGACCCUGGUCUAAUCUUAUCUACGAUUAGGCCUAUAAUUACCAAAUCUCCUUCUAUAAAACCGUUUCCAAGAGCAUCACCUCGGCAAGAAUCUCAGCAUGGUAGGAAACGUGGUUCUGAUCGUGUUAUAACAGAAACGCCCGAAAAAAGAAAGAUUGAGGAAAACACAAAUGACAAAUUUUUAAUUUCUUAAACAGUAUUUAUAUAAGUCCAACAAAAAUCUCUUGGAAUUUUAAUAUUGAAGAUUUUAAGAGCAUAAAUUUCAGCAGACGGGGACGAACACAUGUCCCUGCUAAAGAAUCAGUUGUACAACUUCGAGAUAUUUUGAAUCUCAUAAGCAAAAAAAGGAUAAUGACCUUCAAAAAUUGCUCAAAUGGGUCCCAACAAGAUCCCACCACUUUUUUUAGAGCUUUGCUUACAAGGAAGUUAUAAAAGAGGACAACGAUGAAUACCAAAGUUUUCUCCAAGAUUGUUAUGUUACUCACUGGGAGAGAACGCCAUCGCGGAUAAACUACUGCGGCAUUUUAGAACAAGGGGCUGGACAGUAGAAAGUAAACAUCAUGUUCGUCACUUCAACCUAGCCAUUCAUGACGGCGACUCCAUCGUUAUAACCGACAUCUAGGUGUCAUGGAACGGAUCCACUCAGUGACAUUACAAAUGUAAUCGUUUUCCUGUCUUCUCUUCAUCACGGCGGGGAAGUGGACGACUCAAAGAAGAAAGAAGAAAUUGCCAAAGAUGGUGUCCCUCUACAACUUAACCAAAGGGGUAGUUGACACCGUCGAUCAAUUGUCAACUAUUUACAAUGUAUCAUGAAAUAGUCGUCGAUUGCCCUUGACUUUAUUCUUUUCUCUAAUGAAUACAGCAGGUAUUAACUUCCAAAUUAUUCAUAGAGAAAAUAUCAAUUGUUAAAAGAAGUGAUUACCUAAUCCAGUUAGGGACAGAACUCAUAAGUGAUUAUCAAAAGAUGAGAAUGCAAAAUGACGGAAUACCAAGAGAACUUAGUGGUGUAGUUAGCAGAAUAAGAAGCGAAACAUCAGGGCUCCCUAGCAAAAACGAAAACAACAUGGACUGGGAAGAUGUCGUGAUUAUCUCUAACCCUGUGAUCGCAAAACUAGCCACACCUGUGAAAAGUUUUAUAAGUUUAUAUACCUUGAACAUGCUAAUAUGUCCUGCGAAACUUGUUCAGAAAUCGCCAAUGUUGAUGACCAAUAAAAAUAUUUUCUGUCUGCUCUAGUACAAAUAUCCAUUGGUUUCAUGUUCUUACUACACUAAAUUUUGUGUUUUCGAUUUGUUUGAUUCACAAUAUUAAUGUUUUAAAAUAAAGUUCUUAUGGGUCAAAUUAAAAACUCUCCUGGAGUAUCCGACCUUUAAUAAACGAGAAAUCACAUAAAAGAAAUGCUGGAAUAUGAAUUCAGGUAAGAAAUACAUAUUUCGUUCAUCUUCGUUUCGGCUAAGUGGAGUUUU